rnacentral:rRNA from 1 species
UUAAGUGACUAAGCGUACACGGUGGAUGCCCUGGCAGUCAGAGGCGAUGAAGGACGUGCUAAUCUGCGAAAAGCGUCGGUAAGGUGAUAUGAACCGUUAUAACCGGCGAUGUCCGAAUGGGGAAACCCAGUGCAAUUCGUUGCACUAUCGUUAACUGAAUACAUAGGUUAACGAGGCGAACCGGGGGAACUGAAACAUCUAAGUACCCCGAGGAAAAGAAAUCAACCGAGAUUCCCCCAGUAGCGGCGAGCGAACGGGGAGCAGCCCAGAGUCUGAAUCAGCUUGUGUGUUAGUGGAACGGUCUGGAAAGUCCGACGGUACAGGGUGAUAGUCCCGUACACCAAAAUGCACAGGCUGUGAACUCGAAGAGUAGGGCGGGACACGUGGUAUCCUGUCUGAAUAUGGGGGGACCAUCCUCCAAGGCUAAAUACUCCUGACUGACCGAUAGUGAACCAGUACCGUGAGGGAAAGGCGAAAAGAACCCCGGCGAGGGGAGUGAAAAAGAACCUGAAACCGUGUACGUACAAGCAGUGGGAGCACCUUCGGGUGUGACUGCGUACCUUUUGUAUAAUGGGUCAGCGACUUAUAUUCUGUAGCAAGGUUAACCGUAUAGGGGAGCCGCAGGGAAACCGAGUCUUAACUGGGCGUUAAGUUGCAGGGUAUAGACCCGAAACCCGGUGAUCUAGCCAUGGGCAGGUUGAAGGUUGGGUAACACUAACUGGAGGACCGAACCGACUAAUGUUGAAAAAUUAGCGGAUGACUUGUGGCUGGGGGUGAAAGGCCAAUCAAACCGGGAGAUAGCUGGUUCUCCCCGAAAGCUAUUUAGGUAGCGCCUCGUGAACUCAUCUUCGGGGGUAGAGCACUGUUUCGGCUAGGGGGUCAUCCCGACUUACCAACCCGAUGCAAACUACGAAUACCGAAGAAUGUUAUCACGGGAGACACACGGCGGGUGCUAACGUCCGUCGUGAAGAGGGAAACAACCCAGACCGCCAGCUAAGGUCCCAAAGUCAUGGUUAAGUGGGAAACGAUGUGGGAAGGCACAGACAGCCAGGAUGUUGGCUUAGAAGCAGCCAUCAUUUAAAGAAAGCGUAAUAGCUCACUGGUCGAGUCGGCCUGCGCGGAAGAUGUAACGGGGCUAAACCAUGCACCGAAGCUGCGGCAGCGACACUAUGUGUUGUUGGGUAGGGGAGCGUUCUGUAAGCCUGCGAAGGUGUGCUGUGAGGCAUGCUGGAGGUAUCAGAAGUGCGAAUGCUGACAUAAGUAACGAUAAAGCGGGUGAAAAGCCCGCUCGCCGGAAGACCAAGGGUUCCUGUCCAACGUUAAUCGGGGCAGGGUGAGUCGACCCCUAAGGCGAGGCCGAAAGGCGUAGUCGAUGGGAAACAGGUUAAUAUUCCUGUACUUGGUGUUACUGCGAAGGGGGGACGGAGAAGGCUAUGUUAGCCGGGCGACGGUUGUCCCGGUUUAAGCAUGUAGGCUGGUUAUCCAGGCAAAUCCGGAUAAUCAAGGCUGAGGUGUGAUGACGAGGCACUACGGUGCUGAAGUAACAAAUGCCCUGCUUCCAGGAAAAGCCUCUAAGCAUCAGGUAACAUCAAAUCGUACCCCAAACCGACACAGGUGGUCAGGUAGAGAAUACCAAGGCGCUUGAGAGAACUCGGGUGAAGGAACUAGGCAAAAUGGUGCCGUAACUUCGGGAGAAGGCACGCUGGUGUGUAGGUGAAGUCCCUGCGGAUGGAGCUGAGACCAGUCGAAGAUACCAGCUGGCUGCAACUGUUUAUUAAAAACACAGCACUGUGCAAACACGAAAGUGGACGUAUACGGUGUGACGCCUGCCCGGUGCCGGAAGGUUAAUUGAUGGGGUUAUCCGUAAGGAGAAGCUCUUGAUCGAAGCCCCGGUAAACGGCGGCCGUAACUAUAACGGUCCUAAGGUAGCGAAAUUCCUUGUCGGGUAAGUUCCGACCUGCACGAAUGGCGUAAUGAUGGCCAGGCUGUCUCCACCCGAGACUCAGUGAAAUUGAACUCGCUGUGAAGAUGCAGUGUACCCGCGGCAAGACGGAAAGACCCCGUGAACCUUUACUAUAGCUUGACACUGAACAUUGAGCCUUGAUGUGUAGGAUAGGUGGGAGGCUUUGAAGCGUGGACGCCAGUCUGCGUGGAGCCAACCUUGAAAUACCACCCUUUAAUGUUUGAUGUUCUAACGUUGGCCCCUGACCGGGGUUGCGGACAGUGUCUGGUGGGUAGUUUGACUGGGGCGGUCUCCUCCCAAAGCGUAACGGAGGAGCACGAAGGUUAGCUAAUCCUGGUCGGACAUCAGGAGGUUAGUGCAAUGGCAUAAGCUAGCUUGACUGCGAGCGUGACGGCGCGAGCAGGUGCGAAAGCAGGUCAUAGUGAUCCGGUGGUUCUGAAUGGAAGGGCCAUCGCUCAACGGAUAAAAGGUACUCCGGGGAUAACAGGCUGAUACCGCCCAAGAGUUCAUAUCGACGGCGGUGUUUGGCACCUCGAUGUCGGCUCAUCACAUCCUGGGGCUGAAGUAGGUCCCAAGGGUAUGGCUGUUCGCCAUUUAAAGUGGUACGCGAGCUGGGUUUAGAACGUCGUGAGACAGUUCGGUCCCUAUCUGCCGUGGGCGCUGGAGAAUUGAGGGGGGCUGCUCCUAGUACGAGAGGACCGGAGUGGACGCAUCACUGGUGUUCGGGUUGUCAUGCCAAUGGCACUGCCCGGUAGCUAAAUGCGGAAGAGAUAAGUGCUGAAAGCAUCUAAGCACGAAACUUGCCCCGAGAUGAGUUCUCCCUGAGACUUUAAGUCUCCUGAAGGAACGUUAAAGACGAUGACGUUGAUAGGCCGGGUGUGUAAGCGCAGCGAUGCGUUGAGCUAACCGGUACUAAUGAACCGUGAGGCUUAACCUU